rnacentral:rRNA from 1 species
UACGUAGGGUCCGAGCGUUGUCCGGAAUUAUUGGGCGUAAAGGGCUCGUAGGCGGUCCGUCAAGUCGGUUGUGAAACCUCAGGGCUCAACCCUGAGCUUGCAGUCGAUACUGGCGGACUUGAGGCAGGUAGGGGAGAGUGGAAUUCCCGGUGUAGCGGUGAAAUGCGCAGAUAUCGGGAGGAACACCAGUGGCGAAGGCGCCUCUCUGGACUGAUACUGACGCUGACAGCGCGAAAGCCGGGGGAGCAAAGCGG